GGUAGUCCACGCCCUAAACGAUGCGAACUGGACGUUGGGUGCAACUUGGCACUCAGUGUCGAAGCUAACGCGUUAAGUUCGCCGCCUGGGGAGUACGGUCGCAAGACUGAAACUCAAAGGAAUUGACGGGGGCCCGCACAAGCGGUGGAGUAUGUGGUUUAAUUCGAUGCAACGCGAAGAACCUUACCUGGUCUUGACAUGUCCGGAAUCCUGCAGAGAUGCGGGAGUGCCUUCGGGAAUCGGAACACAGGUGCUGCAUUGCUGUCGUCAGCUCGUGUCGUGAGAUGUUGGGUUAAG
rnacentral:rRNA from 1 species